CAUCUCUCGCGUGAAAUCUCAGCCCUUCCUUAUUAUUCAAUUAAUUAAUUGAAAAGAUAAUUGGAAGGUGGGGAUUUCCACUGCACUCCAUCCAGUGAAAAUGUCACUAGAGACGAUCCAUCCCCCUCAUCUCUGAUAUCAAUGUAAAAAAAGAAAAAAAUGUGAUAGGAAGAAAAGAAAAAAAAACAUAGACAAAUCCUCUUCUUCUUUGAGUGUGACAUUCACCUAUCAUACC
rnacentral:lncRNA from 1 species